UUGGAGGGCAAGUCUGGUGCCAGCAGCCGCGGCAAUUCCAGCUCCAAUAGCGUAUAUUGAAGUUGUUGCAGUUAAAAAGCUCGUAGUUGAAUUUCGGGAUCAAUAUUUCGGUCAUGCCGUUGGUAUGCACUGUUAUCAUUGAUUUCUCACCUUCUAAAGAACCGUAAUGCCAUUAAUUUGGUGUUACGGGGAAUUAGGACUGUUACCUUGAAAAAAUUAGAGUGUUUAAAGCAGGCUCACGCUUGAAUACAUUAGCAUGGAAUAAUGAAAUAGGACAUCCGAUUCUAUUUUGUUGGUUUCUAGGAUCGAUGUAAUGAUUAAUAGGGAUAGUUGGGGGCAUUAGUAUUCAAUUGUCAGAGGUGAAAUUCUUGGAUUUAUUGAAGACUAACUACUGCGAAAGCAUUUGCCAAGGAUGUUUUCAUUAAUCAAGAACGAAAGUUAGGGGAUCGAAGACGAUCAGAUACCGUCGUAGUCUUAACCAUAAACUAUGCCGACUAGGGAUCGGAUGAUGUUAACUUUUUAAUGACUCAUUCGGCGCCUUACGGGAAACCAAAGUGUUUGGGUUC
rnacentral:rRNA from 1 species